rnacentral:rRNA from 1 species
AAAGGCUCACCUAGGCGACGAUCCGUAGCGGGUCUGAGAGGAUGAUCCGCCACACUGGGACUGAGACACGGCCCAGACUCCUACGGGAGGCAGCAGUGGGGAAUUUUGGACAAUGGGCGCAAGCCUGAUCCAGCCAUGCCGCGUGAGUGAAGAAGGCCUUCGGGUUGUAAAGCUCUUUCGGCCGGGAAGAAAUCGUGGUCUCUAACAUAGGCCAUGGAUGACGGUACCGGACUAAGAAGCACCGGCUAACUACGUGCCAGCAGCCGCGGUAAUACGUAGGGUGCGAGCGUUAAUCGGAAUUACUGGGCGUAAAGCGUGCGCAGGCGGUUUUGUAAGACAGAUGUGAAAUCCCCGGGCUUAACCUGGGAACUGCGUUUGUGACUGCAAGGCUAGAGUACGGCAGAGGGGGGUGGAAUUCCUGGUGUAGCAGUGAAAUGCGUAGAGAUCAGGAGGAACACCGAUGGCGAAGGCAGCCCCCCUGGGCCUGUACUGACGCUCAUGCACGAAAGCGUGGGGAGC